UCCGUGCUGGGACAGGGGUGUCUCUGCCGCACACGUACUGGAGCGGGCGCGGCGCUAUUAAUAAACCGCGGGUGGCUGUAAUUCCGCCCCCAUAGCUCCCGGGAAAAGUCUGCUCCCGCGGACGGCCGGCCCCGGCGCUCCCGGUGCGCCGCCGGCUCCCGGCUCCCCAAGCGCCCAGCCCGCCUGCCGACCCAUCGGUUCGCUCGGACACCUCCCCACCAAGACAGAUAAACAACUAACCAACCAACCAAACAAACAAAUAAACGAAAACAAUUAAAAUGGGCCUCCCCACGGUGAACUUAAAAAAAAAUAAUACUGAUUAGGAAAAAAAAAUAAAAAAGAAAAAGAAAACGCAACAAAA